rnacentral:rRNA from 1 species
AUCUAUGGCUAUACCACACUGAAAGCAUCCAAUAUAGUCUGAUCUCUAAAGCUACACUGGGUGAGGUCUGGUUAGUAGUUGGUUUAGAGACCUUUUGGGAAUACUAGAUCUUGUAGGCU